AACGAACGCUGGCGGCGCGUCUUAAACAUGCAAGUCGAACGAUCUGUAGCAAUACAGGGAGUGGCGGACGGGUGAGGAACACGUAGGAAUCUACCUAGAAGAGCGGGACAACUUUGGGAAACCGGGGCUAAUACCGCAUAGUACAGAGAUGUUAAAGGGCUAGCAAUAGUCGCUUCUAGAUGAGCCUGCGGUCUAUCAGCUUGUUGGUGAGGUAAUGGCUCACCAAGGCAGCGACGGAUAGCCGGUCUGAGAGGAUGAUCGGCCACACUGGCACUGAGACACGGGCCAGACUCCUACGGGAGGCAGCAGUUAAGAAAUCUUGCGCAAUAGGGGAAACCCGUGACGCAGCGACGCCGCGUGAAGG
rnacentral:rRNA from 1 species